UACGAAGGGGGCUAGCGUUGCUCGGGAAUCACUGGGCGUAAAGGGCGCGUAGGCGGCCAUUCAAGUCGGAGGUGAAAGCCCAGGGCUCAACCCUGGAACUGCCUUCAAAACUCCCAGUCUGGAGGUCGAGAGAGGUGAGUGGAAUUCCGAGUGUAGAGGUGAAAUUCGUAGAUAUUCGGAGGAACACCAGUGGCGAAGGCGGGCUCACUGGCUCGGAUACUGACGCUGAGGUGCGGAAAGCGUGGGGAGCAAACAGG
rnacentral:rRNA from 1 species